CCUACGGGUGGCUGCAGUGGGGAAUAUUGCACAAUGGGCGCAAGCCUGAUGCAGCCAUGCCGCGUGUGUGAAGAAGGCCUUCGGGUUGUAAAGCACUUUCAGCGGGGGGAAGGCGGUGAGGUUAAUAACCUCAUCGAUUGACGUUACCCGCAGAAGAAGCACCGGCUAACUCCGUGCCAGCAGCCGCGGUAAUACGGAGGGUGCAAGCGUUAAUCGGAAUUACUGGGCGUAAAGCGCACGCAGGCGGUCUGUCAAGUCGGAUGUGAAAUCCCCGGGCUCAACCUGGGAACUGCAUUCGAAACUGGCAGGCUAGAGUCUUGUAGAGGGGGGUAGAAUUCCAGGUGUAGCGGUGAAAUGCGUAGAGAUCUGGAGGAAUACCGGUGGCGAAGGCGGCCCCCUGGACAAAGACUGACGCUCAGGUGCGAAAGCGUGGGGAGCAAACAGGAUUAGAUACCCGAGUAGUC
rnacentral:rRNA from 1 species